UCCAUUGCAACUAAAGCUUGGUUUUUCUGUGGCCUCAUGAGAGAGAGCUGUGUUUUCUUCCUGUUACCUGGGACUUUCAUUGACUGAGACAUCAGUUAGUGAUCCAUCAACAUCAGUGGUCGCCACCAUGCUUGAUGGAUUUGGUAGUAUUUGGGCCUGAAGGUUUUUUUCCAGCAUUUUCCUGCCUUUAGUUUCCUAUUUAAAUAGGUUGCUUCUCAAUAUGAUUAGAAAAUAAGAUAAGAGAAAGCAAAGCCCCCCAGCCCCUCCGCAUGCUGGUGGACGCUUCGCACUGUCCUUGGCUCCUGCAGCCCAGUGGGGUUCACUCCCAGACCCUCCUCUACUCCUCCUCUCCUAAAUCCUGCCUCUGCUUUAGUUUCUGCUGCCUUAGAACUGCUCAGGGUGAUUUUCUUACAACUCCAUGCUUUCAUGUACAUUUCCCUGAUUUCGUUUCCAAAUGCCCAGUUUUAGGCCAUUUUCAAACUGUAUGCCCAUAGCCCCUUUCUCCACUGGGCACCGGGCACCUCACGUCAGCUGUGACUGCUCCUGCUGGUUUGCCUGGGUCCCCCACCCCUCCUCAGACCUCAUCGUUGCCCAGAUCGUUCCCAUCCUUCCUUGGGUGCAACCCUACCAAGGCUUGGAAGGAUGUCAAUACUUGCCUCUUGUGUUUGCUUAGCUCCAGUGUUCUCUUCUACCCAUUACUUAGUGGGGUGAGGCUGGGCGGGGGCUGUGGCCUCGGCCCGCUUUGAUCUGCAGCUGUCUCCGAUUAUCUGCUGGCCUUCUACAUCACUCACCCCUCCAAACGUGGUUUCUCAUCUCCAAGUGGAGCCCAGCUACAAGAACAAUUGGACAGAUACCUGCUUUCUGAGACAAAUUCCAGUGAUGAGGAUGAAGAAGGCUAUUGGAACAUGGAUCUGUGACUAAGGAUAUCAUGGAUUUGGUUCGAACAAAAGGUAAAAUACAGUGAAUUACAAAAUCUUUUCAGCUUAUCAGAAAAGGACACUUUGUAAAUACAAGCUGCCAUAACAACCACAGAGGAAAAAACAUGAGGCUGUCAUCAUGUAUGGACUAGGAAACUGUUCAGCUAAGCCCUCUUAAGUACCACCCAAAAAAUUUAGAAUCUUUGGAAAUCAACUCUGAUGCUGAAAACAUGCCCAUCUGAAGAUGUUAUCUCAAGAACCAAGAUGAAGCUCAGGCUCUCGAAAUUGAAUCAAGUCAUGGCUUGAAUCCCACACAGUUCUCCUCGGCCCCGAGAUGAGCGUCUAGGCAAAUAAUAGAGAAGAAAGGGAAAGACAGCGUCAGAGAGAAAGGGAGAGGGAAGUAAGACAUUGACCAGUAAAGCGUUGACUGCACGAGUGUGCGUUCCACAGAUGAACUAGAAUGCAGUGCCCCGGGAAGAACGGGUACUUUUGAAUUCGAUGAUGAAAUGUGCACUGGUUUUCCUGACAGCAAUGAGAACAGACAAAGCAGCAGCCACAGGAAUUAGCCAGAGGCUGAAGAGGAAAGGAGAUAGCUCAUGGCCAUGGAGUUAGGAGCAUGUUGGUGGUGUGGAGAAGGAAGGAUGAGUAAAACUCCAGGCUGCACGGAAUUGGAGCCGUGUGCUCCUUGACACUUUACAUCACAAGGACUUGGCAUGUACUAGGGACCAUGACAGAGGCUAAAUAUUGCCUGUGUGUCUGACCUAAGAUGGUCACUCUUAUGUCCUUGUGAAAUAUUUGACUGAAGGUGCUACAGAAGCAAAUCAAAGCAAACAUUCUGUUUACCUACAGGUCCCCACCAACCUAACAAUACCUAGAUAACGAAAUAAAAAGUU